rnacentral:tRNA from 1 species
UAGGGAGACCUUACCCACUCUUAUAUUGAAAGCGAGAAGUGAAUAGAUAAAGAGAUGGUCAUCCUAAGGUCGGUGAGGGCUAGGUAGAGAAGUGGCUUCCAAACGAGUCCAGGUUAGGUGGUUAUGGGCUAUUAGCUCAGGUGGUUAGAGCGCACCCCUGAUAAGGGUGAGGUCCCUGGUUCGAGUCCAGGAUGGCCCACCAUGGGGGUUUAGCUCAGUUGGUAGAGCGCCUGCUUUGCAAGCAGGAUGUCAGCGGUUCGAGUCCGCUAACCUCCACUGGGGGGGGAAGAGAUGGUAAGAUUCAGCAUCUAGUCUAAUGGCAGUAAUGAUUUAGAGAUAAGUCAGAGUGAUAUUAGAAGGAAUGCUGGGUGAUUAGCCAGCGAGAACCUUGAAAACUGCAUAGUGAGAAGAAAGUCAGGUAGAGACUCAUCAGGAGUCAGGAGUCAAGAGUCUGAAGUCAAGAGUGGGAUGUAGUGUAAGUACGCAGAUCACAGAGGGCAGAGGGCAGAGGACAAAAGACGAGCGAUGAGAUUCACAGAAGAUACCAAUGUAGAUUGAGU